GUCGCUGCGCGUCGGAGCCCGAGGGGCCGGGGACGCGCGCGGGGGGAGAGGGGCAAGAGUCCUGGGGGCCCGGCGGGGAGCGGGGCGAUUUCGAAAAGAAGGACUGCAGCGCCCCUCGGGGCUUCUCGGGGAGCCCAGGAGGAAAGAGCUCAAUGCGGAAUCACAUAGGCAAAGGCUCUGAUUAUUUUCCUUGCAAUCGAAGACAAAAGCCGCCAUGUUUAUUAAAAUGAAAGUCGUAUUUUUACUCUUCCCUGGAAAGAAGUGUGUGCAACCAGACCAUCCCACCAAAGUCCUUCUAGAGAAAGCACAUUGGCUCGUCCAGUCUGCAUGUGGUGUCAGGUGCCAUUGAGGCUGAGGAGAUUCCAAUGUACGCAAGCAUGUUUGAUGAAUCAGGGGCUGAUGACUAUCGGAAAACUGUGGCGUAAUGGAAGAUCCCCAGAAGGAGAAUUUACAGCUACUUCAAGUGGAAUCUGGCACAAUGAACAGACUGGCCACAGGACCUGAAGACUGGAGGAGAGUGACACUUCUAACUAAUAGCAUCUAAAACAUCCCAAAUGAGUUACUUCAGGAGUGUCUGUGAACAUCUUGAAACAAAGGCCUAUCUUGUAAACAAACAGAGCUGUCCCACUAAACUCUCCUGGCCUAGGGCCUCUUCUGGGAGCAUUCAGAGAAAGCAGGACUUAGAGGAUAGGGAGUUAAGCUUCCUGCCCUGGUUCAGAUCUGCAACUGAGCAGUGAAUGAUUCAGCACCAGGAGAAGGCAUCUGUGGGCCUGAAUGCUGGCAGCCAGGAAUAAGUGCAAAGGCUGUGCCAGUGAUGGCCAGAGUGGACGGGACAUGGCAGUGGAGGCUGGAGUCAUAGUCCACACUUUACCCUCAGCAUCUGAGAGAUACCCCUAGGGAAUCCCGGAGCUGUGGAACAAGGAGGAAAUCAUGUGAGAGAUGGGGAGGGGACCAAUGCCACUCAGUUUCACAGAGAGGGGUUUUCAGGCAAAAGAAUAUAGGGCAGUUCUUCUGAAUCUCGCACACAUUGGAAUCACUUGGGAACUGAUUCCUGGAUCUUAGCUCUAUCAAUUCUGAUUUAAUUGGUCUGGGUGCAUUUGAGCAUUUUGGGAAGUUUUUAGUUUCCCAGGAAAUUCUAAUGUUUAGUCAACAUUGAGAACUAUUGACCUAAGCCUAGGGCUCUCCAACUUAAACUUACAUCGGAGUCACUUGGAGGGCUUGGUAAGCAGUAAAUUACUGAUUCCAUCCCUAGAGUUUCUGAUUCUGUAGGUCUGGAGUGAGGCAUGAGAAUCUGUAUUUCUGUGAAGCUCCCAGAUGAUGCUGAUGCUGAAGGUCUGUGGAACACAUUCUGAAUAGUACUGACUUGGGUUAAGUAUUUAUUGAGAUGACAUUUGUACCCACCAUGUGGGGUGGGUGCUGGGGACAUUUGGAUCAUGGAAACAGUAUAGAGCAGGACCCAACACGCAGGCUUAUUAACAGCCUGAGCCUCAUGCUGCCUCUGCCUCAUGCUGCCUCUGCUGCAUUCCAGCUACAUGAACUUGAAUAAUUUACUCAAACUUUCUAGACCUAAUUUUCCCAUGAGUAAAACAAGAACAUUAUGACAGCUACUCAAAGUUGGUUGCAAUACUUUUUUUUGUUUUGUUUUGAGGCUGGAGUGCAGUGAUGCAAUCUCCACUCACUGCAACCUCCACCUUCCAGGUUCAAGCGAUUCUUGUGCCUCAGACUCCUGAGUAGAUGGGAUUACAGGUGUGCACCACCAUGCCCAGCUAAUUUUUGUACUUUUAGUAGAGAUGGGUUUUCACUAUGUUGGCCAGGCUGGUCUCCAACUCCUGGCCUCAAGUGAUCCACCCACCUCAGCCUCCCAAAGUGCUGGGAUUACAGGCGUGAGCCACCAUGCCUAGCAAAUACUUAAUAUUUUAAAAGUGCUUUUAUCACUGAUAAACACACUACAUACAUUAUAAUAAUUUAAUCCCCAGCUAACCCUGUGAAGUAUUAUUUCUCCUGUUUCACAGAUGAGGAAGCUGGGAAGUUGGGUUAAGUAACUUGCCUUAGUCACACAGGUAGUUAGGAUUGGCUUAGAAUCUGAACCCAGGCAAUCUGAAUCCAAAGCCCAUAUACUUCACUAUUAUACUAUACUAGUGCAACAAAUAUGAGCUGCUAUGGAUAGUGAUUAUAUUAAGAAUUAAAUGUAAUGAAAUUCUUAAAACUCCAGUUCAUUGUUUUGAUGAAACACAAAUAGAACACAGUAGAUAUGAGGAAUUGCUAUAAUUAAAUCUAAACUCAGUUCUCUAAACCAGUGUUUCUCCAAGUGUGUCUUGAGAUUACCUACAAAGAAAUCAUUUGGAAACUCCCUACCUCAAAUCUUUGGAACCACAAUCUCUUGGGGGCAGGGCUACAGAAUCUGAGAUUUUAAAUAAGUUCCCAAGGAGAGCUGGUUUCCCAGCUGUAGUCUGAGUCACAUGCCUAUAAAUUAAACAUAUUUAGUAAUCAUUCUUUUCGUAUUUCUCAGACUGAUCUAGUGUUUUUCUCAAUGUUAUUUUUUAUGAAUUUAGAAUACACUAUUUUGAGUAGCUCAAGUAGAAUUGUCUACAGUUUGAGAAAAUAAAACCUAUCCUUUAAGCUUUCGUAAGUAGGCAAAUAAAAUAAUAAUCUGGCUUAAAAUCAAAAUCAUUAUGAUAUGUGGUGGUGAGGGAAGAGAGAGACCCUCUCAUAUUGUUUUAUAUUGUUUUAUACUC
rnacentral:antisense_RNA from 1 species